UACAGAGGGUGCGAGCGUUGUCCGGAAUCACUGGGCGUAAAGGGCGCGUAGGUGGCCCGACAAGUCAAUGGUGAAAGCUCGACGCUCAACGUCGAGUCGGCCACUGAUACUGUUGGGCUGGAGCACUGUAGAGGCUCAUGGAAUUCCGGGUGUAGCGGUGGAAUGCGUAGAGAUCGGGAGGAACACCAGUGGCGAAGGCGACUACCUGGCCCAUUCUUGACGCUGAGGCGCGAAAGCUAGGGGAGCGAACGGG
rnacentral:rRNA from 1 species